rnacentral:rRNA from 1 species
UGGGGAAUAUUGCACAAUGGAGGAAACUCUGAUGCAGCGACGCCGCGUGAGUGAAGAAGUAGUUCGCUAUGUAAAGCUCUAUCAGCAGGGAAGAUAGUGACGGUACCUGACUAAGAAGCUCCGGCUAAAUACGUGCCAGCAGCCGCGGUAAUACGUAUGGAGCAAGCGUUAUCCGGAUUUACUGGGUGUAAAGGGAGUGUAGGUGGCCAUGCAAGUCAGAAGUGAAAAUCCGGGGCUCAACCCCGGAACUGCUUUUGAAACUGUAAGGCUAGAGUGCAGGAGGGGUGAGUGGAAUUCCUAGUGUAGCGGUGAAAUGCGUAGAUAUUAGGAGGAACACCAGUGGCGAAGGCGGCUCACUGGACUGUAACUGACACUGAGGCUCGAAAGCGUGGGGAGCAAACAGG